rnacentral:rRNA from 1 species
GUACACUCCUGCGGGAGGCAGCAGUGGGGAAUAUUGCACAAUGGGCGCAAGCCUGAUGCAGCCAUGCCGCGUGUAUGAAGAAGGCCUUCGGGUUGUAAAGUACUUUCAGCGGGGAGGAAGGCGAUAAGGUUAAUAACCUUGUCGAUUGACGUUACCCGCAGAAGAAGCACCGGCUAACUCCGUGCCAGCAGCCGCGGUAAUACGGAGGGUGCAAGCGUUAAUCGGAAUUACUGGGCGUAAAGCGCACGCAGGCGGUCUGUCAAGUCGGAUGUGAAAUCCCCGGGCUCAACCUGGGAACUGCAUUCGAAACUGGCAGGCUAGAGUCUUGUAGAGGGGGGUAGAAUUCCAGGUGUAGCGGUGAAAUGCGUAGAGAUCUGGAGGAAUACCGGUGGCGAAGGCGGCCCCCUGGACAAAGACUGACGCUCAGGUGCGAAAGCGUGGGGAGCAAACAGGAUUAGAAACCCGAGUAGUCCCAUG